UCUUGUCGGGGGUGUGCGUAGCUUAUUACGUCCCUGAGCCGAUAAUUUAAAACCUUGAGUUGGACAUCUAGUCACCGGUGAGCAAGCUUACCUUGAGUAAGAAGCCUAAAGGCGAAUACGUUUGACUCCCUUGAACCUUCUGGUUCAAGGACUACAAUAGGUUACGGCACCUCGGACACCAU
rfam:Haemophilus sputorum HK 2154 ctg120006325159, whole genome shotgun sequence.